GACGAACGCUGGCGGCGUGCCUAAUACAUGCAAGUCGAACGCACAGUUUAUACCGUAGCUUGCUACACCAUAGACUGUGAGUUGCGAACGGGUGAGUAACGCGUAGGUAACCUGCCUGGUAGCGGGGGAUAACUAUUGGAAACGAUAGCUAAUACCGCAUAAUAUUAAUUAUUGCAUGAUAAUUAAUUGAAAGGUGCAAUUGCACCACUACCAGAUGGACCUGCGUUGUAUUAGCUAGUAGGUGAGGUAACGGCUCACCUAGGCGACGAUACAUAGCCGACCUGAGAGGGUGAUCGGCCACACUGGGACUGAGACACGGCCCAGACUCCUACGGGAGGCAGCAGUAGGGAAUCUUCGGCAAGGGACGAAAGUCUGACCGAGCAACGCCGCGGGAGUGAAGAAGGUUUUCGGAUCGUAAAGCUCUGUUGUAAGAGAAGAACGGGUGUGAGAGUGGAAAGUUCACACUGUGACGGUAUCUUACCAGAAAGGGACGGCUAACUACGUG
rnacentral:rRNA from 1 species